rnacentral:rRNA from 1 species
GAUGAACGCUAGCGGCAGGCCUAAUACAUGCAAGUCGAACGGUAAAUAUGAUAGCAAUAUUAUAUGAGAGUGACGUACGGGUGCGUAACACGUAUGCAACCUACCUUGUACAGGAGGAUAGCUCGGGGAAACUCGAAUUAACCCUCCAUAAUAUGUUGGUGUGGCAUCACGCAGACAUUAAAACUUUGGUGGUACAAGAUGGCAUGCGUCUGAUUAGUUAGUUGGC